CGGCUAACUCCGUGCCAGCAGCCGCGGUAAUACGGAGGGUGCGAGCGUUAAUCGGAAUUACUGGGCGUAAAGCGCGCGUAGGCGGCUUUGUUAGUCAGAUGUGAAAGCCCUGGGCUCAACCUAGGAACUGCAUUUGAUACUGCGGAGCUAGAGUAUGGUAGAGGAUAGUGGAAUUCCAGGUGUAGCGGUGAAAUGCGUAGAUAUCUGGAGGAACAUCAGUGGCGAAGGCGACUCCCUGGCCAAAGACUGACGCUCAUGUGCGAAAGUGUGGGUAGCGAACAGGAUUAGAUACCCUGGUAGUCCACGCCGUAAACGAUGAAUGCCAGACGUCAGGGGGCUUGCCCUUUGGUGUCACACCUAACGGAUUAAGCAUUCCGCCUGGGGAG
rnacentral:rRNA from 1 species